rnacentral:lncRNA from 1 species
GAGAAAGCGUGAGGUACGUUCUGUGAGGAAAGAUGUUCUGAGAUAUAAAAAAGUGAGGAAAAAGCGAGAGGGACGUUCUGUGAGGAGAGACGUUCUCAGAUAUAAAAAAGUGAAGAAAAAGCGAAAGAGGGACGUUCUGAGGAGAAAAAGUCUGAAGAGAGAAAAAGUGUGAAAAGAAAAAGUCCGAGGAGAAAAAGUGAGGAGAGAAAGAAGGGGAAAAAAGCGUUCUGAAGAGAAAAAGUGAGGAGAGGAAAAGCGAAAGGAAAGAGGAAAAAGCAAAGGGCAAGAGAAGCGACCAAGAAGCGGGUUUCUGACCAGCGCCGACGAGACAAUUCGCCCUUCCGUGUGCUUCGGCAAGCAAGCGUGUGGUGCGCGUGUGGGAGUGAGCAGCGCCGCCAACAAGGGAGGCACGGGUCGGUCACCAACAACACCAUGGUCUAAACCCGCGACGGACCAACAACACUAUGGUCUAAACCCACGACGGACGAUCUCGGUGCCCUCCAUACUUUGACUGGCGCUCAAGGCUGCCCCGCGAGAGGGUGCACGGCAAAGCUGGGUGCUGGCGACGGACGUGACACGCACGCACGCAUUUUCAGGACGUUUUCGCUUCACGGACUAUUUUCUGGCCAAUGACAGCCGAGCAAUGUGGUACCAGUGGCAUCAUGGAUUGAGGGUGAACGCAAAGCAGAUAAAAGGGGAGAGCAAACCACAGAGGAGGAGAUGCUCCGGAACCUGAUGAGGGAAAGCUAUGCACAGUCUCUUGGGGUUUCUUCGUGGACAUGUGAGCUGGUUUUAGACUGUCGUGAGACAACUGCCAAGGGCCCUGCAGUUGUUACGAGUGCAUAUGUGGAGAGACAAGGUUGUCCUGAAAAGAGGAAGUUCACACCGUAUUUAAUAAUCGCUUCUGUUUGAACCUUGAAAUCCUGCCAGGAGUUUGGAGUUUUAAAACAGAGUCGAGGCUCAUGGAGUAACUACAACACAGAAUGGACCAGGACAUAACAGAACAAAAAGAAAGGGUGGGGGAGGGGGGGGUUGGCAAUUCAACCAAUAGCAGGGUUGAAGGACAAAAAAAAAGAGAGAUUUGUGGUUGAGGGGAGGACACAGGGGUGAACAAGAUUGAUACAUCUGCAAACUCUCAAUCACACAAGUGGAAAUAAAAACGGUAAACACGUGAAAGCUGAGCUUGGGGAGGGUUAAUGGGGUAGAAAAGAUCAUGGUUGUGGAUGGGGGAUGACCUGAGGUGGUGGUGAGCAGCAAUCUUUACCCUGAGAUGGAGGAAUGAGAUUGAAGAGACUGAGGAAGUUUGUUCCACAUGUGGGGAAAAAGAGAAAAAAACGAAUAAGUGGAGUUGAGAUUAAAGCUUUAGUAUUCUGCUCAUUAAAUGUUUAAUUACUGACACAUUCAAUCAUUUUUCCAUGACAAUCAUUCUUUGUUCCUCCUUUUAAAAAAACAGGCUCACUCAAAAUGUUUUGCUUUAUUCUGUUUGAUUGUAUUAUUUGAAAUGCCCGGACGGAACAAGUUGAAAAAGCUCAGAGAAACAUUUUCGUUUCUUUCGGUUCGGGUUUGUAGGAAACUUUUGUUUUGAAUCCAAGGUACUAGAAUGCCUGGCAUACACAGGAACACCUUAAUGUAGAGGCAAAUAUUGUGGAUGGUUUCAGUGAAUGUGCAGGGUGUGCCAUAUACCAUUGAUUUAUUCGAACAUUCACAAAAGCUGGGGUUGUCGGCAUUCUCUCAUGUGUUAUUGUGUUUAUUUCAACACGCUUAACUUCUAACCUCCGUGGUUGUGCUUUUAUACUUAGUUUCGCAUUAUGUUGGUCAUGUCUGUGCUGUUCCAUGUAGUUAAAAAAUAAAAAGUUAAAAACUCU